GUUAUAUUGAAACUGCCAACUCGAAAAAAAAUAAAAAUUAAAAAAAAAAAAAUGCCCAACACACUCAGAAAAGACAUCAUGGAAUGAAAGACUAGAGGAAUUGAAAGCAGUUUCUGGUGCUCAUGAGCAGAAAUAGGCCAAAGUCAUUGCUCACAAAGUAUGUGCUUGUUGAUGAAUGGAGUAGCCAGGCUAGGGAAGAUCCUUGACAAUCUUCCUUGAAAUGAUUUUAAACUGAAGGAGUGGAGAUUUAGGUGAGAUGUUAGGAAGAAAUUCUUUCCUCAGAGGGCGGUGAGGCCCUGGCACAGCUGCCCAUAGAAGCUGUGGUGCCCCAUCCCUGGAGGCGCUCAAGGCCAGGUUGAAUGGGGCCCUGAGCAGCUUGAGCUGGGGGGGCAGCUCUGCCCAGGGCAGGGGUUGGGGUGGCGUGGGCUUUGAGUUUGUUUACAAACCCAAACCGUUCUGUGAGUUUAUGAAAUCAGCAGCGUGGCCAGCUACACAGCAAAGCUUUUUGUAUACGAUGCUGAGCACCAGGCUCUGAUAAACCAAGGUCAGCGUCAUCCAGUUUUAACCGCCCUGAGUGCUUGAAAAGCCUAUGCGAGGUUAAAUAAAAUUUACUGUAACUCAAAUAUUAAGUGUCUCCAAGUUGGCCGCCCACACAGGAAACUUCUUGGAGCAGGUGGUCACUGAGGCCUACUGGUUGCUCCGGCUCCACUCGCCCUGCUUGUGGCUGCUGACUCACCACCAAGCUACGAGCCCAAACAAAAGGCUCUCAGAUCAACUCGGAGGCAUAGAACCAAGGAAGACAAGGAUAGAGAAGAAGUGAUGCCAAUAAGGCAGAGUCUGGAACAAAACAAGACCCUAUGAAGUACAGCCAACUAGAUCUGACAAGUGGAGUCAUUUGGAAUGCUGCUGGUGUGCCCUGCUCCUACAGCUUUGUCACCCUGAAAGCUGUGCGCACAGAGACAAAAGUCCCUAGAAGUCCAUGCCAGGAGGUGUUUUCCUUCUAUGAGAAAGAAAAACAGAUUAGAUGGGAGCCUCUGGAGUGCACAUGCUGGCUAAUAUAUCUUUGAAGAGGAAGUGUAGUCAAUUCUCUGCAAACGGUCAUCCAUACUACUAGCCAAUAAUAUUAGGUGCUGAAAUAGUCCCUCCGUAUAAAUUAUCCCCUGUCAUUUAGCCAUCCAUUUGGCUGGCCAAGGAAGCGGUAGUAUGCUUGCCAGCUGUUCUACCAGAUUUUCCUGAGUGCAUCUGCAUCAUUGCUCUGAAGCACAGUAGCCUCAGCGAGAUGACACGCUGUGUUCUGAGAAAGAGAGUUUUACCCAGAAAAUGCGAUAGUUCACCAAAUUCUCCGGAAGCGAGAAGAUAACCAGCUUCAAAAGACAAUUUUUUUUUUUCUUCUCUUCUUUUUCCCCUCUCUCUUUUAAAAACACAGCAAUGGCUGUGAACGUUGUGUUCUUGCUGCUUUUCAGGGAUGUGGUUUUGUGCUA
rnacentral:lncRNA from 1 species